CUGUGUACCUCCGAGAGAGAGGAGUCACUUUCAUCAGACCUAUAGUGAAAGAGUUAGAAUUAUGAGAGAAAGAAUACAGAUGUCAACAGAAUGAGUAAAACAUGUUCAAAUAGGAAAACCAUGACUUUGAAUGGUAAACUGUAGAAGAGUAACAUCCUUCUGAAUGAGAUGGGUACAUAUGAAUACUGAAGAGUCAUCCCCUGAGACCGCCGUCCUUAGAAAGGCCUGCUUGGAAAACUGGACUUUGGCUGACAUCUAAAAACAGCUCUCAGAGCGUUCCCAG